rnacentral:rRNA from 1 species
UUCGCAAUGCCCGAAAGGGUGACGAAGCGACGCCGCGUGUGGGAAGAAGGCCUUCGGGUUGUAAACCACUGUCGGGAGUUAAGAAAUACAAGGAUAUUAAUAGUGUCUUUGUUUGACUAAGGCUCCGGAGGAAGCCACGGCUAACUCUGUGCCAGCAGCCGCGGUAAUACAGAGGCGGCAAGCGUUGUUCGGAAUUAUUGGGCGUAAAGGGCACGUAGGCGGCUAUGUAAGUCGGUUGUGAAAGCCUUCCGCUCAACGGAAGAACAGCAUCCGAUACUACAUGGCUUGAGUGCGGGAGGGGAGAGUGGAACUUCUGGUGGAGCGGUGAAAUGCGUAGAUAUCAGAAGGAACGCCGGCGGCGAAAGCGGCUCUCUGGCCCAUAACUGACGCUGAGUGUGCGAAAGCUAGGGGAGCAAACGGGAUUAGAUACCCCGGUAGUCCUAGCCGUAAAC